rnacentral:rRNA from 1 species
GACGAACGCUGGCGGCGUGCUUAACACAUCCAAGUCGAACGGUAAGGCCCUUCGGGGUACACGAGUGGCGAACGGGUGAGUAACACGUGGGUGAUCUGCCCUGCACUUCGGGAUAAGCCUGGGAAACUGGGUCUAAUACCGGAUAGGACCACUGCCUGCAUGGGUGGUGGAAAGCUUUUGCGGUGGGGGAUGGGCCCGCGGCCUAUCGGCUUGUUGGUGGGGUGAUGGCCUACCAAGGCGACGACGGGUAGCCGGCCGGAGAGGGUGACCGGCCACAGUGGGACUGAGAUGCGGCCCAGACUCCUACGGGAGGCAGCAGUGGGUAAUAUUGCACAAUGGGCGCAAGCCUGAUGCAGCGACGCCGCGUGAGGGAUGACGGCCUUCGGGUUGUAAACCUCUUUCAGCACCGACGAAGCGCAAGUGACGGUACCUGCAGAAAAAGCACCGGCUAACUACGUGCCAGCCGCCGCCGUAA